rnacentral:lncRNA from 1 species
CCUUGGAUUCUUCUGGGGUUCUGUGAAAACGGAAAAAAUUUUCUGCCUUAGAGAUCUAAUUGGUCGGAUCUCCAUCUUUCCAUCUCGGAAAUUCUAUCUUCAUGUGUGAGUAAUUUGUGUCAUUAUCUUGGGGCCCUUUUCCUGUAUUUUUAUAUCUGUGCAACGUUGAACUUGAGCCCUCAUUUUGUUGAAAUUUGCUGAGGCUCUCCAGUAGGCUCUUUUUGAAAUCAUUAAGUAUUUCUUGCAGUCGGUUCUAAAUUUUGAUUUCCAAUGCUUCUAUUUGUGCUUUCACCGAGUUAUCAAUGGCCAUUGCGUAAGACUGCAAAUCUGUAAUCUCAACUUCUGUUUUUGGUAUCAGUCAAGGGUAUCAACACUGUCGAUGCGAAGUUGCCGAGGAGGUGGACGCCAAGGGCAGUGCUGCAGUCGCUGCAUUGGAGGAAGAGUAGCUGCCUUGUUUCUAUCGCUGUGUGGGGUGAGAGCGUCGGGGUUGGAAGGCAACUUCGUUGAUGUGGUUGCAGUUGCUGCGACCCAAGGGGCGAUCGCCGAGCAACGGGGUUGAGGCAAGGCAGCGUACUUGCUGCGGUUGCUACGUUCGCUGUUGGAGGGCGGCUGCUGCAGAAUGAGGGGUUAGUCGUUGGCCGGGAGCGACGACGGUAGUUACAAUCGGCGACUGCGGCAGCAGAGGGUGCCACUAUUUUUGUUGCUGCG